AUUGAACGCUGGCGGCAUGCCUUACACAUGCAAGUCGAACGGCAGCACGGGGGCAACCCUGGUGGCGAGUGGCGAACGGGUGAGUAAUGCAUCGGAACGUGUCCUCUUGUGGGGAUAACCAGUCGAAAGAUUGGCUAAUACCGCAUGAGAUCGAGAGAUGAAAGCGGGGGACCGCAAGGCCUCGCGCGAGAGGAGCGGCCGAUGCCGGAUUAGCUAGNGGUGGGGUAAAGCCUACCAAGGCGACGAUCCGUAGCUGGUCUGAGAGGACGACCAGCCACACUGGGACUGAGACACGGCCCAGACUCCGUACGGGA
rnacentral:rRNA from 1 species